rnacentral:rRNA from 1 species
GAUGAACGCUGGCGGCGUGCCUAAUACAUGCAAGUCGAGCGAACGGACGAGAAGCUUGCUUCUCUGAUGUUAGCGGCGGACGGGUGAGUAACACGUGGAUAACCUACCUAUAAGACUGGGAUAACUUCGGGAAACCGGAGCUAAUACCGGAUAAUAUUUUGAACCGCAUGGUUCAAAAGUGAAAGACGGUCUUGCUGUCACUUAUAGAUGGAUCCGCGCUGCAUUAGCUAGUUGGUAAGGUAACGGCUUACCAAGGCAACGAUGCAUAGCCGACCUGAGAGGGUGAUCGGCCACACUGGAGCUGAGACACGGUCCAGACUCCUACGGGAGGCAGCAGUAGGGAAUCUUCCGCAAUGGGCGAAAGCCUGACGGAGCAACGCCGCGUGAGUGAUGAAGGUCUUCGGAUCGUAAAACUCUGUUAUUAGGGAAGAACAUAUGUGUAAGUAACUGUGCACAUCUUGACGGUACCUAAUCAGAAAGCCACGGCUAACUACG